GAGAGAGAGAGAGAGAGAGAGAGGGUGAGGGAGCACCCGAUCCUGCCGUGCAGACACAGUAACCCCGAUCCCUCACCGGACGGUGAAGGGAGACUGAGAGGAGAGAAAGUGAAACCGACUAAGCCGUGCUUCGCAUGCCGGCACGCGCCGCAGCCGGGGAAUUCCGGUGUCGGUGUUAAUCAGCUGCUAACAAGGCAAUUAGCGGCUGAUCAUCCAAUUAACCAGUAGUCCUUACCGGUGGAGACAGACAGCAAGGACCCACGUGGCAAUCUCCUUGUUGACUAAUGUUCCGAGAGAGAGAGAGCAUCACAGGCUAAUAAUAAUAAAGCACUCUGGACUAAGAUCUGGCCAGCGUGUUCCUUACCGCGGUGUUGGUGUCUAACACCUCUUCCUCCCCCUCCAAAUUUGCAUUUAGAUCAAGUCGUGGCAGGUGGGAAUUGGGGGAGCUACAAGAGAAACAGGUACCCAGGACAGGCACGCUGACAAUGUUAGUAGGAGAUACAAAUGCUUGACAGCUGUAAAAAUUCAGUCUGGGUUUUUCUCCUCUUCUUUUAAGUCAUCAAGCUCAGAAAAGUCAGCGUUCAUUGCUCUUCGAGCCUCUGCUUGCUUAUACAGCCACUAUGAUAACACGUGUACACAACACCUCUUCAAUUCUUUUUCUCUCUGCUUCUUCUAGCUGUUUGAAUUACAGAGGAGUGAACAUACAUCAUACUUGGAGAAAAUUAGAGGAAGAGAAAUAAGUGACAUCAUUAGCUUCCAAGCCUAUAUUCCGAGCAUAACACUGUUGCUAAUAUGAGAGAGCAGACAUAUUUGGGAAGGAAGCAUCAUGGGACCUGGUUGUUCUUUGACAGUAGCACCAAUUCCAUCUUUGUUUCAAUAAGAGACCAUGGCUCUAGCAAGAUAUUCAGGAAUUCUGUGCUUCUAGAGCUACUAUAUCCUUUUGAUUAGGCCCUGGUCACUUAUGAUUACAAAGAAUUCUGUAUCACCAUUCAUGCAAGUAAGGGUUUUGCCCCAUUAUCCUGGCUAUAUUCCAGUUUACAAAGUGUUAAAAAAAAAAAAAAAUACAAUUUUGGGGUCAAUUAUUCCUUACAAUUUAAAAAAAACAAAACACCUUAUUACCCAGGUAGCAUGGCUAUCACAUUACCAAAACCAUUCCUACAAUUUUAAAAGAUGUAAACAUCAUUCUUAGGGUAUUUUUAAAAGCUACUGUACAAAUUAAACAGUACCCAGAUGUAGCAUCGCUCUGAAUAAUUAAUUUGAAGAAGGAACACCAUAGAGUUCUCUUAUAUUUCAUGAGUAAUCUUAACAACAAAAUACAUGGAAUAGAGGAAUUGGAAGGGACCUCAGACGUUCAUCUAGCCCAGGGCACUCAACUUUUGGCCCACGGGCCAAAUCCAGCAUCAUGACAUCCAACCCACAGGAAUCCCUGCAGAUCAGAAGAAUUGGCAGCUGAAGUGGGAGAAGCUCUGUGCAGCUGAGUCCAACCCAACCUGGGCCAUUGCAGCAAAGUGGGCUCAGAGCUGGGUCUGUUAGCUGGACAUCAGGAUCAAGCCAGGCUACUCCCCCACUCCAUCCCACAGGCUUCCAGAUUGGGUCUGGGUUGUUCCUCCCCUAUCUCCAUCUUACACAUCUGGAUCAGGGCCACUCUGCUCUGCCCCAUUCCCCCCACUUUCCUCUCCACUCAUCCAACUGGGAACCAGCCUGCUCCCUGCCCCCACCAGCAGAUGGAUCAGGGUUGGGCUGUGCACCCACCUGUGACUGGAAGGAGUUCGGUCUGUCAACACUGUGCCAGAUCCAGCCCAUGGCUGGACUUGACACUGCCCAUCCAGCCUGCAGGGCAAAAAGUCUAGGCAUCACCGAUCUAGUCCAACCCCCUGGUCCAUGCCAGAAUCAUCCCUGACUGAACUGUUACUUGACUCAAGUUAUCUCAAGUAGUCAGCAAGCAUGGCACACAAAAGAAAAAUGAGCGAAUAAAAAUCUUGCUUAUAAAAUAAGCACUUUCUGCACAUGGAGGUGUUCAGGAAUGGACGUAAACAACUAGCAGUGGAAACAAGUGAUAUUUGAAAAUUGCCAGCAUGAUAUUCCAGCACAAAUGUGAAUAAAAUGUUUCAAGAGUCCAUGUUGCUUAAUCAAUACAAAGUAGUAGCUUUAGCUUUUUCAUGCUGUGUCAAAUGACUGCAGUCCCAAUUCCCUUCCAACUGCCAACCUCUUCUCUGAAUCUCCUCAACAAAAAGAUCAAUUUAUAUUGAAAAUGCUGACGAUCACAUCUGUACUUCAACUUCUUCUUGGGUACAAUACCCAUGUCUAGCAGCAGCUGCAGAUCCAGAGAGGGUGCAGUGGCAUAGAAGCAUCUUCUUUCAAUUGACAAUGCCACAUGAGCAGCUGCCAGGGGCUCUUUAUGUUUUUAAGUCCCCAAAUAAGGUAAAACUCAUUCCUCUU